CCCCCUCCCGUAAUAGUCACCGGAAGGCCAACCCGGUCGGCUUAGCCGACUAGGGUGCCUAAAGAGCCUGAAAUCAAAGAGCCGCAAACUGCCUCCACGUUUUUGAUUGGCUGUACUAUAUGACGUCAGAAUACGUCAUGUUUGCGAGGAAAAAUCGUACAGUUCGCUAGCUGUCUGCUAGAUAAGAAGGUUGCGAGGUUAUUUUACAUUAAAUCUUUUGAAACAUGUUUCUAAUUAUUUGUAGUUAUGUUGCGGUGUUUAAAUAUUGAUUUGCAUCAUGGUACGAGUAUGUAGUGCAAAUAAUUGUUCAAAUAAGUAUAGUACUGGGAUAAAGUUCAGGAGGUGCCCUUGUAUUCCUCAUCUGUGGCAACAAUGGUUAGAAAAAUUAAACAGAAGUACUAUGGGAAAUGAAUUUUAUCUUUCUGAGGAACAUUUCAGCAGAGAAGAUUUACAAACAAAUACUCGAAGCCUUAUUCCUAUAAUUUUUUGCAACUGCUCAAAUACUUGUAGGUCACAAUCUUGCAACAGCUUGUCACAAUCUUGCAACAGCUAUUCUGAAGAGAUUCAUUCAAAUGCGACUAAAAAUUUUCACUGGUCAUGAAGAACGAAAAGAAUCCGGUUCAGAAUUUGGUAGUUUCAGCAUGGGCUCACGUUUGUUAGGCAAAAGCAUGAAAUAAAACUUUAUUAUUAGUCAGCAGAGACUUCCAACGAUAUUGAGUAAAGUAAUUCUGUUUUUAUUUUUAGUAUGUUAGUCUAAUUGUUGUCACAAGAAAUUUCUAUUGAAUGCAAUAACCCAGAUAGAACACAGUGUUAGCAAAAUAUUUUAGAGAUAUAGAUGUGAAAUAUUAUAUAAAUAUUGUAAUGUCCGAGAUUCUCAGAUAUGAAAAAGAUUAUAAUAAAUAUCUAAAAAUAUUUAAGAAAACCAUUUUUCAUUAAUAUUUUUAUGAAACAACUUAUGACUUAUAAAUCGAUUUAUGAAACAUAUUUUGCAGACAUAUUUUUACAUAUUUAUUAUAAUUGUUUUCAUAGCAGAGAAUGUUGAACAUU